rnacentral:tRNA from 2 species
GCCCGGGUGGCGGAAUGGCAGACGCGGCGGACUCAAAAUCCGCUGUCCGAAAGGGCGUGUGGGUUCGAGUCCCACCCCGGGCA